GUGAGGAAUAUUGCGCAAUGGAGGCAACUCUGACGCAGCCAUGCCGCGUGCAGGAAGAAGGCGCUACGCGUUGUAAACUGCUUUUAACCGGGAAGAAACCCCAGGACGUGUCCUGGGUUGACGCUACCGGAGGAAUAAGCACCGGCUAACUUCGUGCCAGCAUCCGCGGUAAUACGAAUGGUGCAAGCGUUAUCCGGAUUCAUUGGGUGUAAAGGUUGCGUAGUCUGAGCGUUAAUUCAGUGGUGAAAUCCUGCAGCUUAACUGUAGACUUGCCAUUGAUACUGGCGCUCUUGAGUGCGCUUGAAGUGGGCGGAAUGUGCCGUGUAGCGGUGAAAUGCUUAGAUAUGGCACAGAACACCAAUUGCGAAGGCAGCUCACUAAGGCGAUACUGACGCUGAGGCACGAAAGCGUGGGGAUCGAACAGGAUUAGAAACCCUAGUAGUCC
rnacentral:rRNA from 1 species